AUGACUUGCAUCUUUCCUACCACGGCCUUGCUUCUUCUCCCUUCGCUACCCAUAAAGCUAGCGCUGCCCUAUCCGUCGCCGCUUUCCCACCACUCCCCUGUCCGUCACCGCCUUGCUGCCGCUCCCCUGUCCGUCGCCGCCUUCCUGCCGCUCCGCAGACCGUCGCCGCCUUCCCGCCGCCCCCCUGCCCGGCCACCUUCCUGCCUUACCACUCAGUGA
rnacentral:rRNA from 1 species